AACGCUAGCGACAGGCUUAACACAUGCAAGUCGAGGGGUAACAGGGUAGCAAUACCGCUGACGACCGGCGCACGGGUGAGUAACGCGUAUGCAACCUGCCUAUAACUGGGGAAUAGCUCCCUGAAAGGGGAAUUAACACCGCAUAACACUAUUGAUUCGCAUGGAUUGGUAGUUAAAUGUAGCGAUACAGGUUAUAGAUGGGCAUGCGUGACAUUAGCUAGUUGGUGAGGUAACGGCUCACCAAGGCUACGAUGUCUAGGGGUUCUGAGAGGAAGGUCCCCCACACUGGUACUGAGACACGGACCAGACUCCUACGGGAGGCAGCAGUGAGGAAUAUUGGUCAAUGGGCGCAAGCCUGAACCAGCCAUGUCGCGUGCAGGAAGACUGCCCUAUGGGUUGUAAACUGCUUUUAUAGUAGAAGAAACACAUCUACGAGUAGAUGUCUGCCAGUAUACUAUGAAUAAGCAUCGGCUAACUCCGUG
rnacentral:rRNA from 1 species